CCACCUUGAUAUGCCUAUGUCAACUGCACAUAGUUAGAGUAAAAAAUAGAUGCAACUAGUGCAUUUAAAUACAGUUGUCAUCAUUACAAUGCCAGUCACUAAGAAACAAGUUACUAACCCAUCUAGUCUUGCCGAUAAUAGCCGAGAACCACAACCACCAGCAUGCAGCUCAGGCAAUGGGCGGAGAACGGAUGGUUGCCCACUUCACGUAAAGCGAAUGGUGGAUGGAAGGCGACCUCACAAGGAACCAGGGCCACGACUUGCAGUGGGCAACCGGUGGCGAAUGGAGGGCUUCCUCGCCGGUUACCUCAUCUAUUAGGUACUUACCCAACUGGUGCACAUGGAUGUGAUGACUUUGCAGCGUUUAUGGACCAACCAACCUGUAAUCAUGGAUAUUACGUGUGUUGUAGACCAUUUGGUGUUUCAGAGCUUGCACUUUGUGAAUGUAGAUACAGACUUGUGUGUUCUGGACCAUCUUAGUUGAAGUCUCUCAUACUAGCAAAUAGUCC